rnacentral:rRNA from 1 species
ACGGGAGGCAGCAGUCGGGAAUAUUGCGCAAUGGAGGAAACUCUGACGCAGUGACGCCGCGUGCAGGAAGAAGGUUUUCGGAUUGUAAACUGCUUUAGACAGGGAAGAAAAAAAUGACAGUACCUGUAGAAUAAGCUCCGGCUAACUACGUGCCAGCAGCCGCGGUAAUACGUAGGGAGCAAGCGUUAUCCGGAUUUAUUGGGUGUAAAGGGUGCGUAGACGGGAAGUUAAGUUAGUUGUGAAAUCCCACGGCUCAACUGUGGAACUGCAACUAAAACUGAUUUUCUUGAGUACUGGAGAGGAAAGUGGAAUUCCUAGUGUAGCGGUGAAAUGCGUAGAUAUUAGGAGGAACACCAGUGGCGAAGGCGGCUUGCUGGACGACAACUGACGCUGAGGCGCGAAAGCGUGGGGAGCAAACAGGAUUAGAUACCCUGGUA